rnacentral:rRNA from 1 species
UACGGGGGGAGCAAGCGUUGUUCGGAUUUACUGGGCGUAAAGGGCGCGUAGGCGGCCACCGCAAGUCGACUGUGAAAUCUCCGGGCUUAACCCGGAAAGGUCAGCCGAUACUACGGGGCUAGAGUGCAGAAGGGGCAACUGGAAUUCUCGGUGUAGCGGUGAAAUGCGCAGAUAUCAGGAGGAACACCCAUUGCGAAGGCAGCUCGCUGGGACGUUACUGACGCUGAGACGCGAAAGCGUGGGGAGCAAACAGG